AAAUGUUCGAGAUAUAGCCGAAAAAAACCCAAAACUAUACCUUGAACCCCCACCUCUUCAACCGGCGGCACCGAAAUCAUUCGUAGAAUGACUGGACCAGAGUUUCCAACUUGACACAUUGCAAAUCUUUGCUGCCGUUACCAUAGAUUUCAUUAUAAACGUCAACUUCUUGUCAUAUUUGCAAAAUUUCUUCGUGUUAGUUAUUCAUCAUGUUGAUGGUAUUGCCCAUGUUUAUAUUUGUACUUGUUAAAAUGACCGUCGAAACUAUACGCCAGUGCGCUGAAGCUUUCCGCCAAUGUACUCCUAAAUAAAUAAUAACAAUGGAAAUUCAAAAGAAAACCAUUUUGGAAUCCGUCGUGGUACGGAACUGCUUAAAAAUUGGGGAAGUAAUUAACUGAAUAGAAUCUCUAGUAAGACCAUUUGCUUAUUAUAUGCAGAUUGCGGAUAGAACAAGACACUAUUUGUGCACCGACCACCAAGAUCCAUUUCUAUACUAACCUUGUCUGCACUAUUAUCUACAUUCGACAAGGAAAAGAUUAAGCGAUAUAGAUGACCAAAACAAAUAAACCGAGGACCGGAAAAGCUUCGUUACGCCCGCCCCCGCAAAAUGUUUCGAAUAUAAUUCUUUGUAUUCGAAUAAACUAUUUGAGACGCAUGUUCUAUGAAAAUACUGCAAAUUUCUUAUGCGUCAUUUCAUUUCCAUUCGCAUGUUUGUUCGUGAGGUACUUUAUAUGACGCAGAGUUACGACUUUUAAAAUGAAUUAAAAGAUCCAUUGAAAUGGCCGAUGUUCUUAUUGCGUAUGAAUCAGAACUGUAAUUUUACCUAUCAUUCGUUUCAUUCAAUGCGGAUAUUUGCACUGCACUGAAAGUUUUAACAUCGCCAAUAGAUACGCCUCCUCCUUAUGUUCCUCUUUCUCUU